UCAGCUAAGUGUACUCGUGACCCUACCAGCACUUUUCAAGAUACUUUCGACGUAUUCAUUGCGGUGAACAACGCGGUUGGGACAGCACACUCACGACGUGGGAAGGUCACAGAAAUGUUGAAAGACAUCAGAUUGGGCAUACGCUUCACCCGUGCAACUUCGUCAUGUGCUCCACGGCUUUACGGCUGUGCCACUGUAUGUAAAAAAUGCUGAGUGAUUUUAAUAAAGAAUUUGCAGGGAAGUACAAUGUGUCGCAC